rnacentral:lncRNA from 1 species
UGACAAUUUCGGAUUAUGUUAACUGAUUACAAUCAUUAAAUCAUAAGACUGUUUAACUGCCUUUGAUCCACAGGUUUUCUUUAACAUGUUACUUAUUUGAUGUCUUGGACGUCUUGGAAGAUUGCACCCAGUUUCAAAAAAGUUGGGACGCUGUGUAAUAUGGAAAUAAAAACAGAAUGCAAACAUUUGCAAACCAUUUAAACCCUAUAUUCUAUAGAAAAUAGUACAAAGACAAAAUAUCAAAUGUUAAAAAUGAUUACAGUGAUAGUCUGGAUGGCAUGGUCUGAACCCUUCUUGUACCAGGCAUAUAUCUGGUUGCCUUCUGUUCCAUCAUUAAGAUUAACAAUAACACAGGUAUAACUCUGUUCCUCAAGACUUUCCUCUUCCUCGUGGUUACUGGAGACAUCCAGGAGAUUGAUGCUUUGGGACUGUGUUAGAGAAUGACGAUACCAAAGAAAGACAAAGCGUCCUCCUGCAUCUCGAUUCACAGUUUCAUCCACACGGGUGUAGCCAUGGGAAAAAUACUUGUUAUCAAAUGCAAAAGAGGUAGUUGCCUUUAUUCUCAGAGAUGUACAUUUUCUUCUCUUUCUUCACCCAAACAUGGAUCCAGUUGCUUUUAGCUUUGCGAUUCAGGUCACACGCCAGUCGUUCCCAGCCAUUCUGGUAAUUUUGGGCUUCAUCUGUUGCAUCUGUGGUGACCUUAAGAUCCACUAUAGGGGUUGUCAUACUCAGUUGUACCGUUGUAGUACCAGAGAAAGAUGUAAUCUCCUCCAGCCCCAGCGUUGAGGUCUCUAUCCACCUUAUGUUAACCUGCGUUUUGUGAGAAAAAUGUCUGAUGCAACAAUCCUUCUGAUCACAUGUCACUUUUCAGAUGCCGAGGUUACUCUUCAGACAGUCACAGAAGAGGUGGUGGUCCCAUCCACCAAUGGGGUGUCAGAUGAGAAGGAAGUGUUGGAACACAAUGGUACAGAACGAUCCGUGAGUCCACCGGGAAGAGACAAAGGUUCUCCAGAAUUGGCUUUUUGUCAUUUGGAAGAAGAGGAGGAGGAAGAACACAUUGUUGAAGAGAAUGAAGAAGAGGAGAUAAUAGAGAAUGGAAAAGAGGUAUGGCAAGCCUACUCAACAGACUGA